UGGGAAGUGGCUCAGGGGUAGAGUGCUUGCCUUGCAUGCAUGAGGCCCUGGGUUUGAUUUCUCAGCACCUCAU
rnacentral:tRNA from 1 species